rnacentral:lncRNA from 1 species
AACAGUUAGAGUCUUCCAAUAAUCAAGUAAAAUUUCAACUCUUCUGGGAUGUGUUGCCUGAUUUCUCCAAGUAUUAUAUAUCUUUAUUUCCUCAAAUUAUCCCAUAUUAUCUUCUCUGGAGAUAUGUCAUAUUUCCCCUAGUAAUAAAGUUUAAUGUCAAGGACAGAGAUAGCUUUGCCUUCCUCGUUGUAGUCCCAUCAUGAAACAUUAAGUUUUGCAAGAGUAGAAAAUGUACAAAAGAAAUGUUUGGGUAAGUGAAUCAAAUGGGAUAUUUCUAUAUCUGUCUAUAUUCCUAUAUCUAUAUGUAGACCUUAGAGUGAUAAAUUGAGGGGUAGAUUUUGUAUAUACAGUCUUCCCUCAUUAUAUCAGGGUUCACUUAUUGUAGCUUUACUGUAUCAAGGGUUGUUUUUUAAAUAUAUAUACAUAUAUAUCUGUAUUGUGGAGUUUUCACUAAAUCAUGGGAUUUUGCAGAUGAAUACUGUACUGUAUACAAUGGAAACUCAAUAUGCCACUAUUGCUUGUGGAAGUUUGCCAAUGUGAGAUUGUACACGCACAUUAUUGGCUGAUUCAAUGAAAAGUGACCAAUUACACUGCUGAAUUCUGUAUCCUGGGAACUGACUGGCUCAGUGACUGUAGCAUUGGUCUGUUUGCUCUCCCUCACUGUGCUCAUAUAUUCAGCAUCUCUUUUUGUCCACUUCACAUCGACAUCUGAUCACUGUCUGUAGUGUUGCUUUAUGGUGUUGCUUUGUUGUGAAAUUUUCAUAAAAGGUGGAAUUUAUUUCAAGUCCUAUGCUACCCAAAUGUUCUGCUCCUUCUAAGGCUCCUGGCAGUGAACCUGAGUACCAGAGGAAGAUGCUUACCAGCAAAGGAUAAUAAAAUAAAUAUAACAUCAGCACUUCAGGAAUUUUCUACUUUCACAGGGGUCUCUGGAAUAUAAGCUCCCAUGAAAGAUUUGGGAUCACUGUAUUUUCCAGCUUUUAGGUCUCUUCCUCCUCCCCUCUCUUCUUCUGUCCUUCCCUCAGAAGCUCUUACCUGCCCUAAGCCAGAGACAGUCAAAAGUUGUGAGCUCAGUUUCCAACUGCUUUUACCCUGCUAUAGGGCAGGCUUAAACAAGAUUGUUUUAUAUGAAUCCUGGUGUCAGCAAUCUUUUCCCCCUUUCCACUGGAGCUGAGGACCCUCACUUUAGUUGCCAUUCUUCAGCAUUGUUAAGGAUUUUGACACUAAACGGUAAGUACUAGUGGAUUACUCCUUCCAUGGAGAAUUGAGUUUUAACAGGGGAAAGAUAGAAUGGAACCAUCACAAAAAAGAAACAAAUUAAUUCUUUCUGAGCCAUCAAUAAACAUAAAAUAUUUUCUUUUACCCUUAACCA